rnacentral:rRNA from 1 species
GAUGAACGCUGGCGGCGUGCCUAAUACAUGCAAGUCGAGCGAACAGACGAGGAGCUUGCUCCUCUUACGUUAGCGGCGGACGGGUGAGUAACACGUGGAUAACCUACCUAUAAGACUGGGAUAACUUCGGGAAACCGGAGCUAAUACCGGAUAAUAUAUUGAACCGCAUGGUUCAAUAGUGAAAGACGGUUUUGCUGUCACUUAUAGAUGGAUCCGCGCCGCAUUAGCUAGUUGGUAAGGUAACGGCUUACCAAGGCAACGAUGCGUAGCCGACCUGAGAGGGUGAUCGGUCACACUGGAACUGAGACACGGUCCAGACUCCUACGGGAGGCAGCAGUAGGGAAUAUUCCGCAAUGGGCGAAAGCCUGACGGAGCAACGCCGCGUGAGUGAUGAAGGUCUUCGGAUCGUAAAACUCUGUUAGUAGGGAAGAACAAAUGUGUAAGUAACUAUGCACGUCUUGACGGUACCUAAACAGAAAGCAACGGCUAACUACGUG